GGAUCAAUAUGUCGGUCGCGCCUUCGGUACGUACUGGUAUCAUUGGUCUCUCCUUUUUGACGAACCAUGAUGUCAUUAAUUUGGUGUUAUGGGGAGUUAGGACUGUUACUUUGAAAAAAUUAGAGUGUUUAAAGCAGGCUUUAGCUUGAAUACAUUAGCAUGGAAUAAUGAAAUAGGACGUUUGAUUCUAUUUUGUUGGUUUCUAGGAUUAAACGUA
rnacentral:rRNA from 1 species